AUUGAACGCUGGCGGCAGGCCUAACACAUGCAAGUCGAGCGAGUGGCAGAGGGGUGAGUAAUGUGUGGGAACCUGCCCUAUGGCGGGGAAUACCUCCUGAAAACGGUAGCUAUUACCGAUUACCAGCGACUUAACCCAGAUGGGAUUAGCUAGUAGGUGGGGUAAAGGCUAACCUAGGCGACGAUCACUAGCUGGUCUGAGAGGAUGACCAGCCACACUGGAACUGAGACACGGUCCAGACUCCUACGGGAGGCAGCAGUGGGGAAUAUUGCACAAUGGGCGCAAGCCUGAUGCAGCCAUGCCGCGUGUAUGAAGAAGGCCUUCGGGUUGUAAAGUACUUUCAGCGGGGAGGCGUUACCCGCAGAAGAAGCACCGGCUAACUCCGUGCCAGCAGCCGCGGUAAUAC
rnacentral:rRNA from 1 species